rnacentral:lncRNA from 1 species
AGUGUUUCUCCGAUUCUCCGUUUCUCUUCAAGAUAAAAGUGCCGGCGGUUCUAUCUGUUGUUUCCACUACUCAGUCAUAUGCGGCAUCUCUCCGACGGUUCUCUCUCCAUAUGCAGCCAUUGGAGGUGUCUCGCGGCAGAAUUUCAUUUCCAUGGGAGCCAAAAAAUUGUAUGUUUCUAGAUUAUCUUCUCUCUCUCGAUCCAGCACCGAUCUUCCGACGCAAUCAUGUUGGUUCCUUCGAAUUUCCAGUCAUAAUAAGGAAUCGCACUUUUUGUUUUCUAAUUUUCGUUUGUUUUUUUUUUGUUUUUAAAAAAAGCCCUAAUUUAAGUUCACUAAAUUACUCUUUAUUAUUGAAGACUCCAUGUUUAUAAUUUUUGGGUUGUUGUCAAUGUGCAAUAGAAAGAGACAAUUUUGUGUAUGUUGGAAUUGUUACCCUCUGUCUGCCAUCUUCAUCUUCAUCUUUUUUUUUUUAUAUAUAUGUUGGAAUUGUUACCCUCUGUUUGUAUCUGUUUAAUACAUGUAUAUAUCUAUAUACUAAUGCAAGUCUGUAAUUGAAAAAUUUGUUAUAUUUGAUUUCGAUAUGGCAUUUGAAGAUUAAUUAGAUAAAACGUAUUUUUUAUUUUCAAAAUGUUAUUGCCUUAUAUCCUCUAAUGAAGUUUGAAUUUUCAUUUAUGACUUUUUGUGGGUUUAUGUCUUUCUUGGACUGCAAAUAUACUAUUGAUGGUAUUUCUUGUCUAGCUUACCCUUUUAUUCUUAUAUUUGUGAGUAUUCCUUGAAUUUUCUUUUUUGGAGUUUCUUGUUUACAUAGGAAUGUUGUAAUGUGUGAUGAUUGACUAUAUAGUUUAUUUUUAUCUUAGUUAGUUCGGUGUGCAUGUAUUUGGAUGUUUGACAGAUACUUCUUCGCUUUGCAGUUUUAACUUCCGCACAUAUCAAUCUCAGCUGUUAGAACUUGCAAGACGAAACAAAUUCCAAUUACAAAGGUAUUUACUUUGGGAAUUAAUCUUCAUUGUCAAGUUUAAUAUGGUAAUUAUUGAUCGCCUGAGGUUUGCCAUGUAGAAGUAGAAUUGAAUCUCCUAAAUUUCUUAUUCGCAAGCUUUAAUUUUCUUUAUAGAGUUUUUUAUUACUUUAAAAUUGGAAUUCUGGCUACUUUUAAUUUUAAUAAAUUGUUGCCAGGAAUAUCAGUAAAGAACACAGUACAUUGAAGUAGUUGUCUGUUUAGGUUUCUUUCCGCAAGCUCUGAUGCCCUGUGAAUAUUAACUAGUUACACAGAUAACACCCUCAUUCUCAUAACCCUAUUGUUGUCAUCAUGUUUGAGAUCAGUUUAUAUGAAAAAUAAUAUAAAUUUAUAGGAGGGCGAUAACAUAUUCUACCCCUUUUAUGAUCUUAAAUUUCUUUAUCUAUCAUGAUUUUCUGAAUCAUUGCACAUCAAAAAUUAUCUCUUUAAUUUUUUUGCCCCCAUUAAUUAGAGUGGGAUAGAUAGUUCAUUUUAUUUUUUUGGUGUAUAUGAACAAUUCCUAAAUUAUGUGCAUCUCUUUGAAGGUCUUCAUCUGAGAUGGAAUUUAUUGAAGUUGGCAUCGCCGUUGCAAUAAACUGGUUAUGGUUUAGAGCUCAGUAAGAUGUUACAUUUGUUGUAUUGUUUUCCAACAUAUAUAUUAGAGUCAUUUUAUUUUACAUAAGCUAAUUAAGUAAUUUACGUUCUCCUCUUCUUUUGUAAUAGGUGAUGCAGUCAAGGAUGCAGUCAAGGAUGACUCUGAACUAGUUUUUUGUUGUGACAUUGUCUUUUUUCUUUUUUCAUUAAUGAGUAUGAAUACUAGAAGAUUAAUGUUAGAGUUUGUGUUCUAUAGACAAUUUGGUUGAGAUGUUUUUAAUGACAACUAUUUAU